rnacentral:lncRNA from 1 species
UUGCAGCUAGUCAAGGGGCCCCUACAGUGGGCUGCAGUGAAAGGGGCCCAAGGCAGUUGCCUAGCAAUGCCUCUAUGCAAAGACCGCCUCUGUGUACAGUUUAUUUUAACAGAGUUAAAUGUAGCCUGGUAGAUUUGAACAGAAUUAAUUUGAGCAGAGUUGACCGAAGCAGGGUUAGAAGUCAUAAUAAAAAAAGAACAGAAUAGGUCUAACAAACCUUUUUCUAAAGCAUGUAUUUUUAUCCAUAAUUAUAAUAUAAAUAAAAGUUAGAUUUCCUACAGAAUGAUAAUCAAAUCUAUCUGUUUGGAUCUGCCAGAGAUGUUCUGUUCUUAAUGUUCUGGUGAUGUUUUUGUUCCUAGUUCUGCAAAAGACAAUAAUGACGAUGAUGAUAAAGGUGAUGUUGAUAAUGAAGAUGACGAUGGCGCGGUGACCCAGAGUUCAAACAGUAAAUCUGAAGGCGCGAGUUCGGUCUGUCUGGUUCCUCCGUCGGGCCGAGGCUCUCGCGCCUCGUCCGUCAGCCCCAGCCGCAGGAGGAGAACCCCGGAGGAGAGAGAGGAGGAGCGAGCGAGAGCGGAGGAGAGGAGGGCGGAGAGAGAGAGAGCGAGGGAGGAGAGAGAGAGGGUGAAGGAGGAGAAAAAGAGGGAGCAGAGAUGGAGGAGGGAGGAGGCGGAGCGACUGAAGAGUCUGAAGCCAGAGAACUGCCUGAAGAACCUGACCGUCCACAUCCACCCCGUGCUGCUGCAGGACUGUGGAUGUGAUGUACUGGUGGAGACGUUAGCUGGGUUUGGGUGGAGUAGCUGUAUAGAGGAGCACAGCCUCACCCACAGCAUCAGCUGGACCAGACAACUACCUCAGGUACACACACACACGUGUUCUAACUUUUAUAUGAUAUAAUAGUAAUAUAUUUUCGUUGUUUAUUACAGUGAAAUAAUUAAUAAUUUAUGCCUUCUGCUAAAAUCCUCUUGUUGUUGUUGUUUAUGAUGCUGCACAUGAUGAAACCCAUCCUCUUCCUCAUUCUCUGCAGCAGCUAGUAAAAGAAAAUAUUCAGAAAAACAAGUCGAUCAGGAAAAGCACCGUGUCUACAUCAACCCGUGAGUUAGUAUUCAUGCCCCCGCCCACCUCGGCUCGGGACCGCGCACAGGCAAAGCAGAGCUGAAGCCGGGCAGCGAUGCCAUCUCGUCAGAUAGGAGGAGCUAACAGUGCUAGGAACAGCAUGCAGUUCAUUCCUGUGUUAUUUGUGCGAAUAACACAUCAGUGUUUAUAUACUUU